AGAAUAAGCACCGGCUAANUACGUNCCAGCAGCCGCGGUAANANGUAGGGUGCAAGCGUUAAUCGGAAUUNCUGGGCGUAAAGCGUGCGCAGGCGGUUUUGUAAGUCUGACGUGAAAUCCCCGGGCUUAACCUGGGAAUUGCGUUGGAGACUGCAAGGCUAGAAUCUGGCAGAGGGGGGUAGAAUUCCACGUGUAGCAGUGAAAUGCGUAGAGAUGUGGAGGAACACCGAUGGCGAAGGCAGCCCCCUGGGUCAAGAUUGACGCUCAUGCACGAAAGCGUGGGGAGCAAACAGGAUUAGAUACCCUGGUAGUCCACGCCCUAAACGAUGUCUACUAGUUGUCGGGUCUUAAUUGACUUGGUAACGCAGCUAACGCGUGAAGUAGACCGCCUGGGGAGUACGGUCGCAAGAUUAAAACUCAAAGGAAUUGACGGGGACCCGCACAAGCGGUGGAUGA
rnacentral:rRNA from 1 species